UACGUAGGGUGCAAGCGUUGUCCGGAAUUAUUGGGCGUAAAGAGCUCGUAGGCGGUCUGUCGCGUCGGCUGUGAAAACCCGGAGCUCAACUCCGGGCCUGCAGUCGAUACGGGCAGACUGGAGUUCGGCAGGGGAGACUGGAAUUCCUGGUGUAGCGGUGAAAUGCGCAGAUAUCAGGAGGAACACCCGUGGCGAAGGCGGCACUCUGGGACGGUACUGACGCUGAGACGCGAAAGCGUGGGGAGCGAACAGG
rnacentral:rRNA from 1 species